rnacentral:rRNA from 1 species
UACAGAGGUCUCGAGCGUUGUUCGGAUUCAUUGGGCGUAAAGGGUGCGUAGGCGGCGAGCUAAGUUUGGUGUGAAAUCCUGGGGCUUAACCUCAGAAAUGCACUGAAUACUGGUUUGCUAGAGGACUGGAGAGGAGAUUGGAAUUCACGGUGUAGCAGUGAAAUGCGUAGAUAUCGUGAGGAAGACCAGUGGCGAAAGCGAAUCUCUGGACAGUUCCUGACGCUGAUGCACGAAGGCUAGGGGGAGCAAACGGG